UAUAUUAACAAAUUCAUACUGUAAAUAGUAGUAAGGAGAGACAUCACAGCACAAAGACUUCAGUCUUCUGCCCAGCUGCUGGAAAAUACAUAGAGUGAGACAGAGAGAGAAUGGGCAGCAAACUGACCUGCUCCUGAGAUGUGCUGCUCAAAUAGUCUCUCUUCAGCUUGCCAAUUUGGAGAUAUUGCCCCUUCUGCUAUGUGUGUGGCAUUGAAGAAAUAUUUGAAAUGAAGGACUUUGGGGGCCACUAGAUUCUGACAUCUGGAAGAAGCAAUGCUUUAGAAAAAGACUGAUAAUAAAAAUGUUUUGAGGGUGCCUACUUAAAAAUUC
rnacentral:lncRNA from 1 species